rnacentral:rRNA from 1 species
CCCCCGGGCCCGGGACCGGGAACCCGGGCCGACCGGUACGGGGUAGGUAACGGUAAACGUAACGUAUCGACCAACCGGCCGCCACAGGGGGAUAACCCGCGGAAACGCGGCCUAAUACCCCGUGACGCCACCGGAGGGCAUCCUCCGGUGGCCAAAGGAGCGAUCCGGUGGCGGAUGGGCAUGCGGCGCAUUAGCUAGACGGCGGGGUGACGGCCCACCGUGGCGACGAUGCGUAGGGGUUCUGAGAGGAAGGCCCCCCACACUGGGACUGAGACACGGCCCAGACUCCUACGGGAGGCAGCAG